CGCCAAGGUCACGGCUGCGGCCGUUGUGACGUCGUGGAGUAAAGGCGGGGCGGGAAAAGAGGAUGGAAGGGGAGAUUCGGAUGGAAUUUCUUAUUAAGAGAAAGACGUCGCCCAACGCCGUACCUUGACCUACUUACAUCCGGUUUUGGCUUCUUUAUUGCCUAUCGGACUCGCUUCUCUGACCAAAUGCUAUUUGAAGACUUCGAUCCUCCUUGUUAUUUAGCCCCGUAAUUCGACCAGUUUCGCUUUUUUUUACCUUUAAAUCACACAUCUAUAUUAAGUAACAAGACCUGUUCAACCAACAAAUACAACCUUUAUUUAGUCUAUUAACUAUAGCAUUCAAGAAGUAUGUGGAAGCAAAGACAUCUAACAAGAGGAAGGCUGUAAUAGCAACAAUUGGGAUGAAAAAGAAACUUAUCACAAAGCACGAAAGCGGUACAUGCGUGGUGGAUCUGGCAACCACAUUUCAGAUGCCGAAGUCGACAGUGUGCAAACAGUAAAUGGAAUUUUCAUUUUAUUAUACAGUAUUUAUAUAUAUUAUUUAUUGUUUUUGUGUUUUAAUUUAUUAUUGGGGCCUUUAGUUGUCUUAUUUUUACCUUAAAUUACUGUUGAUUAGACUUCAAACAGCUUCCUGGAAUGAAUUAAAUUUGGAGACACCACUGUACAAGUUUUAAUCCUAGGAAUAAUUUUUUAUAAGUACAAAAAAUAUAGUUUCAGAGAAAAAAAUUAUUGUUUUUGUAAAUUGUACUAACAUAGUAAUAAAAAGAAUGCAUAAAAUAA